UCUUAUGAAUGAACAAAGAAAGUGGUUUCUUGAGAUGGAAUCUACUUUUGGUGAAUAUACUGUGAA
rnacentral:pre_miRNA from 1 species